AGACUCAAUUUUGACAUUUCCAUGGAGAAUCACUGACGGGCCACCAGUCUCCGAUUAAAGGAACGGCUAAGAAUAAAGGUUAUUCCGGUUGCGCCUCGCCGCAUUUGUGGGCUGAAUGAUGUGUAAAUGAUUGAUGACUCACAAUGCCUCAGACGACAGCUCUCCGAUUCAAGGAACUGCUAAGAGUAAAG